ensembl:snoRNA
UGACGCCUGUUCCUCUCGCUGCUCUGAGCUGUGGCAGCUGGGAUUUUAGGUCGUCGCAGGGUCUAUUUCACUCUGUGUUCAUGAGGUAGCAGGGCUGCCGUUGUCUACACUGGAUUUUGCGAGACCCCACAAGU